rnacentral:rRNA from 1 species
AUACGUAGGGGGCGAGCGUUGUCCGGAAUGAUUGGGCGUAAAGGGCGCGUAGGCGGCCUGUUAAGUCUGGAGUGAAAGUCCUGUUUUCAAGAUGGGAAUUGCUUUGGAUACUGAUGGGCUUGAGUGCAGGAGAGGUUAUCGGAAUUCCCGGUGUAGCGGUGUAAUGCGUAGAGAUCGGGAGGAACACCAGUGGCGAAGGCGGGUAACUGGACUGCAACUGACGCUGAGGCGCGAAAGUGUGGGGAGCAAACAGGAUUAGAUACCCUGGUAGUCCACACUGUAAACGAUGAAUGCUAGGUGUAAGAGGUAUCGACCCCUUUUGUGCCGGAGUUAACACAAUAAGCAUUCCGCCUGGGGAGUACGGCCGCAAGGUUGAAACUCAAAGGAAUUGACGGGG